GAUGAACGCUGGCGGCGUGCCUAAUACAUGCAAGUCGAGCGAACGGACGAGAAGCUUGCUUCUCUGAUGUUAGCGGCGGACGGGUGAGUAACACGUGGAUAACCUACCUAUAAGACUGGGAUAACUUCGGGAAACCGGAGCUAAUACCGGAUAAUAUUUUGAACCGCAUGGUUCAAAAGUGAAAGACGGUCUUGCUGUCACUUAUAGAUGGAUCCGCGCUGCAUUAGCUAGUUGGUAAGGUAACGGCUUACCAAGGCAACGACGCAUAGCCGACCUGAGAGGGUGAUCGGCCACACUGGAACUGAGACACGGUCCAGACUCCUACGGGAGGCAGCAGUAGGGAAUCUUCCGCAAUGGGCGAAAGCCUGACGGAGCAACGCCGCGUGAGUGAUGAAGGUCUUCGGAUCGUAAAACUCUGUUAUUAGGGAAGAACAUAUGUGUAAGUAACUGUGCACAUCUUGACGGUACCUAAUCAGAAAGCCACGGCUAACUACGUGCCAGCAGCCGCGGUAAUACGUAGGUGGCAAGCGUUAUCCGGAAUUAUUGGGCGUAAAGCGCGCGUAGGCGGUUUUUUAAGUCUGAUGUGAAAGCCCACGGCUCAACCGUGGAGGGUCAUUGGAAACUGGAAAACUUGAGUGCAGAAGAGGAAAGUGGAAUUCCAUGUGUAGCGGUGAAAUGCGCAGAGAUAUGGAGGAACACCAGUGGCGAAGGCGACUUUCUGGUCUGUAACUGACGCUGAUGUGCGAAAGCGUGGGGAUCAAACAGG
rnacentral:rRNA from 1 species